UACUACAAAAAAUUCUAAAUCUGUGAUAUAUGAUUGAUGAACGUAAUGGUAACUGUAUAAAUGUGUUUAAGGACUUUGUUACUUUUAAUGAUUGGAGAGCACCCGCUUCAAUUCGCACUCAAUUCAAACUUUACGUUGCACGCUCACCUACCAAUUGCGUUUGCACCUUUCGUCCACACGUAAACAGCGUUUUUGGUCACUGAAAAUGGAGAUUUCUAAAAACGCCUGCCAGGGUGGAUAUUUUUGAAAACUCCGUUUUUGCAUUUAUGUGUGGACGAGAAAAACGGAGAAAACGCAGCGUCAAAGGUCUGCGCCAAUUUUGACGUCACACUGUGCACCACGUUUUUGUCUCGGUGCCAUGAAUUCCUACAAUGGCAGACUUAGACAAAAUACUGUUAAUUUUAGUAUAUUCAGUGUUUAAAUGCUUACAUAUACACACACAGUAACUGUCCCUUCACACAUAGGACUCGGUUCAUCUUCUAUGAGCCGUCUUUGUAUCUAGUUUUCCCUCUUUAUUGACAUUGUUCCUUAUUUUUCCUCUUUUUUUCAGAUCUGAUUUGGUUACUACCAUCCACCCAUCAAUACGUGAGACGCUUUGCCUUGAUUGGAGGGACCACACUGGAGGUGCGAGUCCGCCGUGUAAUGGCUUAUGCCAUCACAAACGAGCUGGCCUCAGUACUAAACUGGGCAGGGAAAAAAACAAAGGACCAGACGAAGCAAAAAAGGGCAUUUAAAGAUACUGCACUGUGCAGAUGCAUAUUUGAUGGCCUGACGCAGCAGUUAGGGGCAAACUCUAUGUCAGAGUUUGUCUUUGCACAGGCAGUGCAGAAAUGGCUCCGAUACGCCCCAGAUCGUUUGGGUGGCGCAGGACGCACAUCAUCCAUCCCCAUCCCGGAAUAAAAACUACAAAAUUAUGUUAAAAUAUAAAUGUAAAUAGAAAACUGUGUUUUAAUAAAGUAUUUAGCAAACGAAACAUGUCUAUUGACCUUUUUUUGUUUAGUUUUCUUUCUCUGUUACAUCACAUGCAAUGCUUUCUUAUUUUAUGAUAUUAAUAUUGACAUGAUACAUUGUGAGACAUUUGAUUUUUAUAAAGGGUGUCCAGUUUGAGGAAUAAGUGCAAUUAUGUGUUUAGGUGGUUUAAGUAUUGAUGGAAACAUGCAGUAGUUUAGUAUUGGUUAAAAUAACUAUAAAGGUAGAUUUCCAGUCAUGAUUUAACUGUUGUUUUAAUAAAAAACAACUGCGAAAGAGGUGGAAAAUCAACACCAUAGCUCAACAGUGUUUCAAUAUCAGAAUCUGACAUUGUUUCAAUGUCAACAGUAUUGGAAA